GAAGUAGAGGAAAGGAUACAUCUAGAAGAGGGAAGUACUCACAGAGGUCAUCCCAUAUCCUAAAUGAACUCCUGAAGAAAAUGGAGAUGGCAGCGUAUGGUGGGACUAAAGGGACUGACCAAGAGACUGUGCAGAAGGAGCCAUUGCAGGAAAGCAGCCAGUCUCUGACACGGCCAGUCUCUGACAGAAAAACACAGGCAGAACAAGCAGCUGGAUUGCCAGGGGUGGAUGUUGGGAAAAUCACAACGGCCGCUGUUGGCGAAGAGCUGCGAAAACACCACAUCCCAGUGAUUGCUGUGGUCUCCGCUGUGCUGCUGUCCGUGCUGAUGCUGGCCUGUGUUCCUAUGCUGUGGAUGUGGAAAAAAUAUCUGUGAGUUAGCUUUUCCCCAAGACACUGUAUCGCUGCAUUUGGCUAUGAAGCAUUUGUGGUGACAGGAUCCUGGACGGCCAAAUCAGCUGCUGGCAGUACACUGCCAGGAUUUAUGUGCAAGGCCUUUUAAGUGUUCCCUCGAUUCCUAUCAGUGAGUAGUGCUUUCUGAAACUCAUUCCCACAGGGCACGCAAGACAGAGCGGACAGCAGCAAGACAAGCUCAUCCUGACACUGACUGGGAGAGAGAUCAAAACAGAGAUGAAGGCAGAGCGGAGCUGGGGGAGGCUGCAAAGGAGGAUGUACUCGCCCAAGGAAAAAUCAUCUCCAGGGCAUUCUCCUGGUCCUUUGAAGCAAAAUUUGCCUACCUGUGCAGCAGAAUCUUCACAGACCCCUCCCUUCAGCCCAUGAAUCGCAGAGCGCUCCAAUUGACCCCAUCUCUUCCUUGAAUACCUGUACCUCUCAGGAUACCCCCUGAGCCAUCCAGUGCCCCUGUUACCGGUGCCAAGAAGGCUCGGGUUCAUUGAAAGGUCCCACUUUGUGAUCAAUAAAGACAUUCCAU
rnacentral:lncRNA from 7 species